rnacentral:lncRNA from 1 species
GGAUGAUUUUUUUUGCUUCAUAAUAUGUCUUAGGUAGAUUUGCUUCAAGAGGUAGCGUAGCAGAUAGUAGUCCUAGUAGUGCUGCAAACGAUCCUUGUGACCAACCAUUUAAGCACUUCAAGUAAUACAAGUGCACCAAAAAUAACAGCCUUGAGUAUUUACAACUAGGGUAUAACCUUACAUGUCCUUCAAGAACCUUGCAUAUAUAUUCUGAUCCCUCCCCAAAUCAUCACCUUGAGCUGGAUUCACAAUAUCCUCUGGGGCAUUAUGUUCCAUAUCUGCAAAUCCUGACUGAAAAUCAUUUGCUUCGCCUUGAGGCAUGUCUGCAGCCCUAACAAAUGUAGCAUGUAGCAGUUCUUUCAUGCUAUCCAUUUCUCCAUCCCGGUGACCUUGUACUAUACCCGGAGCCGGCAACGUUGUGAUAUUUGGCACAUCAACAAAAUCAACUGAUGGUCUGUCAUAAUUCUCACCAUGACGAACCCAAGUAGUAUAACCUUGAAGAAUACCG